AUUGAACGCUGGCGGCAGGCCUAACACAUGCAAGUCGAACGAGUGGCGGACGGGUGAGUAAUGUCUGGGAAACUGCCUGAUGGAGGGGGAUAACUACUGGAAACGGUAGCUAAUACCGCAUACCAUCGGAUGUGCCCAGAUGGGAUUAGCUAGUGGGUGGGGUAACGGCUCCCCUAGGCGACGAUCCCUAGCUGGUAUGAGAGGAUGACCAGCCACACGGGAACUGAGACACGGUACAGACUGCUACGGGAGGCAGCAGUGGGGAAGAUUGGACAAUGGGCGCAAGCCUGAUACAGCCAUGCCGCGUGUAUGAAGAAGGCCUUCGGGUUGUAAAGUACUUACAGCGGGGAGGCGUUACCAGAAGAAGAAGCACCGGCUAACUCCGUGCCAGCAGCCGCGGUAAUAC
rnacentral:rRNA from 1 species